rnacentral:rRNA from 1 species
UGAGUAACGCGUAUGCAACCUACCUACAACAGGGGAAUAACCCGUUGAAAGACGGACUAAUACCCCAUAACACAGGGAUCCCGCAUGGGAAUAUUUGUUAAAGAUUUAUCGGUUGUACAUGGGCAUGCGUUCCAUUAGCUAGUUGGUGAGGUAACGGCUCACCAAGGCAACGAUGGAUAGGGGAACUGAGAGGUUUAUCCCCCACACUGGUACUGAGACACGGACCAGACUCCUACGGGAGGCAGCAGUGAGGAAUAUUGGUCAAUGGGCGCAAGCCUGAACCAGCCACGUCGCGUGAAGGAAGACGGCCCUACGGGUUGUAAACUUCUUUUGUAAGGGAAUAAAGUGUAGUACGUGUACUAUUUUGCAUGUACCUUACGAAUAAGGAUCGGCUAACUCCGUGCCAGCAGCCGCGGUAAUACGGAGGAUCCGAGCGUUAUCCGGAUUUAUUGGGUUUAAAGGGUGCGCAGGCGGGAGAUUAAGUCGGCGGUGAA